rnacentral:rRNA from 1 species
AUUGAACGCUGGCGGCAUGCCUUACACAUGCAAGUCGAACGGUAACGGGCCUUCGGGUGCCGACGAGUGGCGAACGGGUGAGUAAUACAUCGGAACGUGCCCGAUCGUGGGGGUUAACGAGGCGAAAGCUUUGCUAAUACCGCAUACGAUCUACGGAUGAAAGCAGGGGACCGCAAGGCCUUUCUCGGUCGGUGCGGCCGAUGGCAGAUUAGGUAGUUGGUGGGUUAAAAGCUUACCAAGCCGACGAUCUGUAGCUGGUCUGAGAGGAUGAUCAGCCACAGUGGGACUGAGACACGGCCCAGACUCCUACGGGAGGCAGCAGUGGGGAAUUUUGGACAAUGGGCGCAAGCCUGAUCCAGCCAUGCCGCGUGCAGGAUGAAGGCCUUCGGGUUGUAAACUGCUUUUGUACGGAACGAAAAGCAUUCUUUUAAUACAGGAGGGUCAUGACGGUACCGUAAGAAUAAGCACCGGCUAACUACGUG